rnacentral:tRNA from 31 species
GCCAGUAUAGCUCAGUGGUAGAGCAUCCGCCUUGUAAGCGGACGGUCAUCGGUUCAAGUCCGAUUACUGGCU